GGGUCAGUAGGUUGGUCGUGCCACCGGUACGUACUGGUCUCACUGAUUCCUCUUUCCUGAAGAACCGUAAUGCCAUUAAUUUGGUGUUGCGGGGAAACAGGACUAUUACUUUGAAAAAAUUAGAGUGUUUAAAGCAAGCUAACGCUUGAAUACAUUAGCAUGGAAUAAUGAAAUAGGACGAUCGAUCCUAUUUUGUUGGUUUCUAGGAUUGACGUA
rnacentral:rRNA from 1 species